rnacentral:rRNA from 1 species
UGGGGAAUAUUGGACAAUGGGCGAAAGCCUGAUCCAGCAAUACCGCGUGUGUGAAGAAGGCCUUCGGGUUGUAAAGCACUUUAAGUUGGGAAGAAAAAACUUUACCUAAUACGUGAAGUCUUGACGGUACCGACAGAAUAAGCACCGGCUAACUCUGUGCCAGCAGCCGCGGUAAUACAGAGGGUGCUAGCGUUAAUCGGCUUUACUGGGCGUAAAGCGUGCGUAGGUGGUUUGAUAAGUCGGUUGUGAAAGCCCCGGGCUCAACCUGGGAAUUGCGGCCGAUACUGUCAGACUCGAAAACGGUAGAGGGAGGUGGAACUCCAGGUGUAGCGGUGAAAUGCGUAGAUAUCUGGAAGAACAUCGAUGGCGAAGGCAGCCUCCUGGGCCUGUUUUGACACUGAGGCACGAAAGCGUGGGUAGCAAACA